UGCAGUUUGCUCUCAUUUCAAGUGGUUUGCUGUCACAAAGCCAACAGGAAGUCCGGCCAUGGUUGAGCCAACUGAAGAUGGGUUGAAGGUGGCGUCCUCGUUUCCUCUCGAUACAUGUUGGAAAAUGGAGACUUUAGCCACCAAGACUGACGUGCCUGGAAACUUCCCUUCACGGGGUUUGUGACUGAAAUGCGUGUGGUCGACGGGAAGCCUGACGAGUACGGCCUGAAUCAUUCCAUCAACACCGGACGGAGUGAAACCUUUGUUGAAAACAGAUUAUAUGGUAACGUUGCAUUUAGCUUCAGUAAACUGUGAAGUUACAGCAGCAGAUUUACAUCACGUGGCUUCACAGGAAGUAGUCUGGACCUCAGCGCUGAGGUUCAAGCAGCUCUGCUUGCAGACGGCAUCCUUCCUGAAAAUGUUCUUCAUCUUCCUAAAACCAGAACUUUUACAUUGGUGCUGAAGUUCUAUAUAAAAACAGCCUGAAAUACAAAGUGAUGUUGUGCACUGAUUACCUCACACUUUCCAUGUUUCCUUCUACAGAGGAGUGUCCGCCUGAGUGUUUUGUCUGAUCUGUUGUUGAUCGUCUCAUUGACACUGCAUGCAGAUCUGACA